GUUAUUGUAGCUUACUCAAAGCAUGACAUUGAAGUCGUCAAGACAGGACCACAAACCCCCAAUAACA
rnacentral:tRNA from 1 species